UACAAUGCAAAAAAUAUCGGUUCUAGUGGACAGCAGCCACUAGAAGUAAUGGGGAAAGUUCGGUGUAAAUCCGUCGCUGUCCCGCAACUGUGAUGAGACGUUUCAACUUCUCUUAGGGGUAAAGUUAACGAAGCUAGAAAAAACUGCCAUCUAAUAUUAGUUGAU
rnacentral:ncRNA from 1 species